GCUUCACACGGUUCACCUACGGCUCUGAAGUGAAGUACAGCUGUGCAGAGGGGCUGUCCCUCAUCGGGGACAAAUCCCUCUACUGCACCUCCGAGGAUGGGGAGAACCUGACCUGGAGUGGGCCUGCCCCGGAGUGCAGGGCGGUUCGGUGCCCCAAACCCGUGGUGGAGAGGGGAAGGAUGACCCCACAGAUGUUCACCUUUCCCUACGGGCUGCUCCUGCACUUCUCCUGUGAGGAAGGCUUCGGCUGCGUGGUGCUGCCCAGAGCCAGUGCCUGGCUGAUGGCACCUGGGACCCGCCCGUGCCCACCUGCCAGCCAGUCCUGUGUCCAGAACCACGAGUGCCCUUUGGAAGGCUGAAAAGCCCUUUGGGUGAGCAACGGUGGUACCAGACCAACGAGACUGUCACCUUGGAGUGCCUUCCUGGCUACCAGUUUCCAGAAGAUGGAAUGACAGAAAAUGCCUGGACAGCCACAUGCUUGCCUGAUGGCAGCUGGACACCACUGCCCAAGUGUAUGAAAGAAGGCGAUGCUGAUGUGUGUCAAGAGGUUCAUUACAUUAAAUCGACCUUUGAAUGUGGUGUGCCUGUGGAAAAAGUGAAAAGUCUGCUGGAAAUCCAGAAACUGUUCCUGGAGAUUAAAAAACUAGAGAUGGAACUAGAAGAGUGAAAAGAAACUGGACCCUUGUAGUGCUCACCUUUCCUUUGGU